CACAGCCCGGCCCGAGUCGCGGGGCCCGAGCGACAGCGACGGCGCCGGCCGGGGCCGCGGCGCGCGGAAGCCACUUUGCACGGUCAGCGCCGGGCACAAGUUUGUUCCGCGGCUCCCGGGGGCCUGGGCGCUGAGGGAGAAUCGCGCUGAGGGGGCCAGGAGGAGGGGGAGAGGGAGGCGCCGAAGGGCACAAGAGUGGGGAAAAGUGCGGAAAGAAGCAACAGCCGCUCCACCCGGGACCAGAAAAGUGGCCAGUGCGUCCCGGCCGCCCGCCCUGCGCCGGGGAUGCGGCGGCGUCGGCGCCGGCUAACGGUCCAGGGAGGCGGCAGGGGCGGCGGGAGCCGCUAGGCGGAGAGAGACCAGGGCCUACUGCAGUGCAUGAAGGUGGUAUGGACUCAGAACUCUGAAGUCUGAGGAGACAAAUACAUGCCCACCAUAACAACAUCACACAAUACCUAGAGUCAAAACAGUUAUCCCUAUUCCUACCCCCAACUGAGUUAUUCAAUAAAGCCUGCCUUGUUGAAUCUGUUUUCCCAUGUAUAGUUUAUAUAGUUACAUAACAAUUAGUUUUUUCCAUAUACUUAGGAUAACUACAUGUAAUUUAGUAUUCUGCUGUUUUCACUUACAUAUCACAUACAUUUUCCUGAUACAGGUACAUAGUCUUUAUAUUUGUCAUUUUUCACUUGACUGCUAUGUUUCUCAAAUUGAUAUACUGUCAUUUCCUAAGCCAGUUAUAUAUUGUUGAACAUUUAAAUUACUCCCUUUUUUGGUUUGUAAAUAAACAUUGUUAUGAAAU
rnacentral:lncRNA from 1 species